rnacentral:tRNA from 1 species
GCGGCUGUAGCUCAGUGGUAGAGCGCUUGCCCAGCAUGCGUGAGGCACUGGGUUCGAGUCUCAGCACCACA